AUUGAACGCUGGCGGCAGGCCUAACACAUGCAAGUCGAACGAGUGGCGGACGGGUGAGCAAUGUAUGGGAAACUGGCUGAUGGAGGGGGAUAACUACUGGAAACGGUAGCAAAAAGCGCAUAACACCGGAUGUGCCCAGAUGGGAGUAGUUAGUAGGUGGGGUAAAGGCUCACCUAGGCGACGAUCCCUAGCUGGUCUGAGAGGAUGACCAGCCACACUGGAACUGAGACACGGUCCAGACUCCUACGGGAGGCAGCAGUGGGGAAUAUUGCACAAUGGGCGAAAGCCUGAUGCAGCCAUGCCGCGUGUAUGAAGAAGGCCUUCGGGUUGUAAAGUACUUUCAGCGGGGAGGCGUUACCCACCGAAGAAGCACCGGCUAACUCCGUGCCAGCAGCCGCGGUAAUUC
rnacentral:rRNA from 1 species